rnacentral:tRNA from 1 species
GGGGUUGUGGCUCAGUGGUACAGCACUUGCCUAGCACGUGUGGGGCACUGGGUUUGAUCCUCAACCCCA